UACGAAAGGGGCUAGCGUUGUUCGGAAUUACUGGGCGUAAAGCGCACGUAGGCGGCCCUGUAAGUUGGGGGUGAAAUCCCGGGGCUCAACACCGGAACUGCCUUCAAAACUGCAUAGCUAGAGGAUGUGAGAGGGUAGUGGAAUUCCGAGUGUAGAGGUGAAAUUCGUAGAUAUUCGGAAGAACACCAGUGGCGAAGGCGGCUCUCUGGCGCAUUUCUGACGCUGAGGUGCGAAAGCGUGGGGAGCAAACAGG
rnacentral:rRNA from 1 species